rnacentral:lncRNA from 1 species
CGGCAGGGCCCCGGGAACCGGUCUUUGGCAGCCCCGUCUGCGCAUGUGCAGACUUCCUCCUUGUUCCUUACUCCUGUCUCUGAUCAGCGUGGAGCCUCCGCGUCUACGCGUAACUCAGCGACCAGGUGCUGCACUAACGAUGCGCUCCGCAGCCAGGGUCACCCUGCUCCUGUGAGGAGGGGACGCCAGAAGCAGGAAUCUCGCCUGGGAGGUUCCCACCCUCUGAUAAAACGCACACAGCUGCACCAAGGACGUCUGGGAAAACAGGCAAGUCUGUAAGCGCUUGCUCUUGAAGCAAUUCCCGAUUCUUCCGCCCUGAAUAACUCAUCAUGUCGGAGGUUGCCAAGAACCGUCGGUCAACGAAGGUGUGGGCCAGCUGUCACAGGACAGAGGUGAGCUGGGCUGAGGAUGGCGAGCUGGACUGAGGAUGGUGGGCAGGAGGCCGGCUGCGGGGGAGGAGGAACUCCCAGGUGAGUACCUGGUGCGCAUGACGGGGAAGAUACUAUCACCACUCCUCUCGGAAACUCCUCCCAUGCCCCUAAUUCUUCAACCCCUCUUCCUAGAUUUCUGCAGAGCCCUCAAACCCCACCCAUCUCCACAUCUGGAAUUUAGGGACAUGCUACCCACUACCUACUCUUGACUUUAUAGGAGUACGGGGAAGCUUUUCAGCGGUUAUGUAAUUGUGCCUCAUUUUAAAAGUGAAAAAUAUUAACACAGUGCUCAAGUGAAUGGAUCUGGGGCCGGAUUGCCCGGGUUCAAAGCCCAGCUCCACCACAUUGCUCAGUCUUCCCCUCGCUUUCCUAUUCUAUGAAAUGGAAGUCAUAAUAGUAGCUAUGCUUGGCUUUAUUUUAAAGGUUAAAUGAAGGAAGACAUACAAAGUAC